CGCACGGGUGCGUAACGCGUAUGCAACCCACCAUCAACAGGGGGAUAACACUGAGAAAUUGGUACUAAUACCCCAUAAUAUCUCAUGCGGCAUCGCAUGGGGUUGAAAACUCCGGUGGUUGAUGAUGGGCAUGCGUUGUAUUAGCUGGUUGGUGAGGUAACGGCUCACCAAGGCGACGAUACAUAGGGGGACUGAGAGGUUAACCCCCCACAUUGGUACUGAGACACGGACCAAACUCCUACGGGAGGCAGCAG
rnacentral:rRNA from 1 species